rnacentral:lncRNA from 1 species
GCUCGAGCUCGGCGCGGACCCGCCCGGGACCGCUCCUCAGCAGCAGAAGCCUGGCUCCCACCGCCCUCCCCGGCCCCGGCGAUCCAGCUACCUCGGAGGGCACACUCAAACACCCGGAGGUCCGGCCACCUCAGAGGGUGCACUGGGCACCCUGUGUUCCUACCACACGGCUAGGCUAGGCGCGCUGGCCACUCGGGUGGGCGUGCUGGGCUUCCCUGCGGCGGCAGUCUGGACCACAGCGUGCGACUCCCCUUCUAGCAGUAGGUGUUCUGACAUAUGACUGCUGCCCUUCUGCCCGAGAGUAGUUCAAACUGUCAGAAGAGGGCACCAGAUCUCAUUACAGAUGACUUUGAGCCACCAUGUGGUUGCUGGGAAUUGAACUCAGGACUUCUGGAGGAGCAGCCACUGCUCUUAACCUCUGAGCCAUCUCUCCAGCCCCACAUAGGAAGGGAAGGAAACAUAUUUGCUUGCUCUGCCAUGUUGAACCACAAGUCUGAGAGAGGGUUCUGAACCCUGCACACAAGGCUCUCGUACAGUGAGGACAACAGGCCGCUAAAGGAUCUGCGCUACAAGCAUUUCCACAAGAAAUAAUCUCUUACUGAACCUGGAACUCACUGAUUGAGCUACAGUUGCUGUUGAGAAGUCCCCAGGAACCUCUUGUCUUCCACCCCUCAACAUUGAUAAUACAGCAGCAGCACUGCGAGGAGCACCGGUGGAGCUGCUGUCCCAGAACCUGCCAGCAUCGGCUCAGGUACUGCAGAGUUGACCCCUCCUUCAUCGGCCACUCCAGAGACCUCUGACAUGGUGUAGUGGGAC